CCUACGGGGGGCAGCAGUGGGGAAUAUUGGACAAUGGGGGCAACCCUGAUCCAGCCAUGCCGCGUGUGUGAAGAAGGCCCUCGGGUUGUAAAGCACUUUCAGUGAGGAAGAACGCCUGGUGGUUAAUACCCAUCAGGAAAGACAUCACUCACAGAAGAAGCACCGGCUAACUCCGUGCCAGCAGCCGCGGUAAUACGGAGGGUGCGAGCGUUAAUCGGAAUUACUGGGCGUAAAGCGCGCGUAGGUGGCUUGAUAAGCCGGUUGUGAAAGCCCCGGGCUCAACCUGGGAACGGCAUCCGGAACUGUCAAGCUAGAGUGCAGGAGAGGAAGGUAGAAUUCCCGGUGGAGCGGUGAAAUGCGUAGAGAUCGGGAGGAAUACCAGUGGCGAAGGCGGCCUUCUGGACUGACACUGACACUGAGGUGCGAAAGCGUGGGUAGCAAACAGGAUUAGAUACCCUUGUAGUC
rnacentral:rRNA from 1 species